CCCGCCCCCCGUAAGCCUAAGGGUUCUUACGGAAGGUUCGUCCGCGUAAGGUUAGGCGGGAGCUAAGGCGAGGCCGAAAGGCGUAGCCGAUGCACAGCCGGUCGACAUUCCGGCCCCGCUCAGGGAUCGCUAUGAGCCACGGAGGGACGCAGGAGGGUAGCUCUACCGGCGACCGGUCGUGCCGGGCCAACCGGGUAGGCUGGGGUCCUAGGCAAAUCCGGGACCCCGACAAGGCCGAGACGGGAGUGCGAGCGGGAUUGAGACGCCCGCGAAGUGAGUGAUCCCACACUGCCGAGAAAAGCUUCGUGGCCAGAUCCCUGGGCGCCCGUACCGCAAACCGACACAGGUAGGCAGGCACACAACGUGCCAAGGGGCGCGAGAGAACCCUCCUCAAGGAACUCGGCAACUUAGCCCCGUAACUUCGGGAGAAGGGGUGCCCCGGUAGGGUGAGGUGGCUUGCCCACCGAGCCCGAGGGGGUCGCAGUGAAUGGGCCCAAGCGACUGUUUAACAAAAACACAGGUCUCUGCUAAGCCGAAAGGCGAUGUAUAGGGGCUGACGCCUGCCCAGUGCCGGAAGGUAAAGGGGAGGGGUGAGGCCGAAAGGCGUAGCUCCAAACCGAAGCCCCGGUGAACGGCGGCCGUAACUAUAGCCA
rnacentral:rRNA from 1 species